AAUAACUAAUUUACUUAAAUUGUCUUCGCAACCUGAAUUAAGAUUUAACCCUGCUGAAAGGCUUGGGGAAUGCUGGGAUAGUAUCUCCUUCAACUUGUUCCAACGCUCUUCGCGUUUGAGCUGCAAAGCUUUCGACCUAAAAAGGAGUUUUUGUUGAGCUUGUUGAAGAGCUUCUCGUUCAUCUGCAGGAACAACUUGGAAAUGCUGUAGACCAGAUCCCUUACCUCCUCGUUCCAGUGCUCCUUGCUCACGUGGUACAAGGCCGGAAACAUGAUGGGCAAGAUGACCUCGUUGUUGGCCAUAAUGAGUGACACAAUAUUCUCAUGGCUCCACAUGCGAAGAGUCCUUUCAGCCACCUAAAUUGUUGGGAAUGACAAGUAUUACUUUCUGCCACGUAUAUUAAAUAGACGGGUCUCUAAAAACCACCAAAUAAUAAUAUUCUUUUGCCUUAAACCUAAGUUUUUGGAUCUUAUAUUAUGAUAUUAAACUAAUUAUUCUAAAAUGUUACAA